GGCGCCUCCCACAGCGCAGGCUCGGCGUUGGCCUCCGCGCGCGCGGGCGAGUGCGCCCCUCACGGGUUCUCUAGGGCGCGGGGCAGCCGGGGCGGAAGGGUUUGUUCAUUAUUUUGAGAGUCUGUGGUGAACGUCCUUAAAUACUGCCGAUACUUGACCUACGCAAGAGACAAUGUCUUGUGAUUCAGCCUGAUAUCUCAAACGGUUCCCUCGCCUUUUUUGUUUCUCCUGGCAUUGCCAUUUUUCAAACGUCUGGCCCAGUGGUCUUCCAGAAUAUCCUUCAAUUUGGAGAUGUCAGAUUGGUUCCUCAUUAUAAGAUUCACAAUAAAUAUAUAUGAGCACACAAACAUAUGCAGCAAUUCUACCUAGAAAUUCUCAAUAUCAAUUGGUGUUUCCCUUUGGGACAAGCUAUGUUUGAUAGAAAAAUUUAAAAUUUCAAGAUGGGGCUUUCUUAUGUUUUGAUGAUAAAUUUCUAGUUUUAUAUUAUUAUGGUGAAUAUUUGUAUUAUUUUUAUGUAAUUUGUUGAGAAAUACAUGUUUGUAUUGUAAAUUGGAGUCAAUUUUCAUAAGUGUUUUCGUACAUUUUUGUCUAAUUAAGAGAAAUGUACUAUAGUCUACUAUUGUUUGUGUAUUUCAGUUUCUCUGAAUCUCUUGUAAUUCCCACUGUAUGAAAGUAGUUACUGUGUUAUUCACUGCAUAUCUUUUCAUAAAUCUUUUAUUUUCACUGUGAAUUGCAGCCUUUAGGAUUAUAAGAUGUUCUUUUUCUCAAUAAUGGUUGUUGGUCUGAAUUUUAUUUUCUUGAAUUUCAGAAUCUCAAUUCUUUCUUUUUUUAAUUUGCAUUUUCUUAGUAUACCUUUAUCCAUCCUUUCAUUGUUAGCAUUUCUGAAUUGUUUUGUUUUAGGUGUGUUUUUAUCUUUUAUAUACAGCAUAGAGUUGGGUUUUCCUUUGAAAUCGACCUGUUUUUCUUGUUAUUUUCAUACUGAGGUUGAGCUGUCUGUUGGCUUACGUGUUUGGUUUCAGUUAUGUCCUGUAUUAUAUUUACCUGUGUAAUAUGUAGCAUAUUUGAUGGUGAUAAGUGCUAUUGAGGAAAAUAAAGGAGAGAGGGGGCAUAAAAAAUGUUGGGGAGAAUAUUCUAUUUUAAAUAGGUGGUCAGGGAAGGCCUCAUGGAGAAAGUGAUUUUUGCACAAACACUUGAAAUAGGCAAAGAAAUGAAUCAUGUGGAUAAAUGAGGUGAGAUUGUUCCAGACAGAAGACAGCUAGGGUCAGCGCCCUGAGGCAUAGAGUACCUAGUGCACUCUAAGGAAUAGCAAGGAAGCGGCUGUGAUCAGAGUUGGUAAGCAGAAGAAUAGAUAGUAGGAGAUAAGGCCAGAGCCGACAUGCCAACAGAAUCAGAUAGGGCCCUGUCAGCCUUAGGGAGUGAGCAAAGAAUCCCUCCUUCUAGAGGAAUUUGGUACCAGAUGUUGAAAUAAUACAUCUGCCAUAACACAGUAAUAAAUUAAUAACCCUAUGAGAACACAUUAAUAACCCUGGGAAUCCCAGCCUAGGUAGGAGAGGAAGCUAGGGUUGCAGGUAUGAUAUUUUGGGUACAACUCAAACUAUGCAUGAAAGUAGUUUCAUAUUUGUUAACUUUGAGGGUUGGAUUACUAAGCACCUUUCCCAACCUGUACGAUUGCAACAGUCCUUGAAUAUAUUCUUCAAGUUUCUCAUAUUUCAGUUUGUACUCAUAUUCUGUCUCCAAACAUAACAGAUAUAGAUAACAACUAUAGCUUUUGGCUAUUUAUCUGAAGCUGUACAUUUACAGAGGAAGAAUUUUAUUGCAACAUUCAUAUUAAUGAAAGGUAUUUUGACUAAUACAUGUUCAAAAAGUAUGAAAACACUAAAAUAAAAUUCUAUACUCAGAAGCUUGAUUAAAGUUGACAGAAAAUGACAGAUUUUCUCUGAAUUUUUGAAAAAAUGUCAAGUGUUUGUUUUAAAAGAGUUUUUUUGUGUUGUUUUUCUUUUUAUAAGAAAUCUGUUUUGACAGAAAACUAUAUGGCAAGUGUGUGUGUGUGUGUUAGGGAGGAAUAGGGAUGAAUUUAGUUUGUAAUCUAGAAAAACUGUGUCCAGGAUGGGAACAGAGAAGGGACAAACUUUAUAUGUGUACACAGGAUUACUUUUUCCUGUCAUGAUGUGUUUUAUUUGGAAGCAUUUCCAUGUUCUCUUUCUCUUUUCCUCCUUUUUUUCUCCUUCACCUUUCUUUUUCUUAAGCUAAGCUGUCACAGUGAAAUACUGUGACUAAGCCACAACUCCUAUAGAAAACUGAACAAUGCAUUGUAAAAUAGGACACAAAAGACUUCAUCUGAGAGCUGAGAUCAUCACGAGUACACUGACCCACUGCAGUAAUUCAACAGUGUUUGUCAGCCCAGGACAAUUUCUUCAAUUAUUGGUGUCCUGCUGCCCCCUGCUGCUCAUGUGGAAGCACUGACUACAGAAAUUAAAGUUUUCCUAACAUUGCACAGGUUUUAGUGAAGUGUUAGCGUGCUAGCAAAGAAAGUUACGUACUUCAAAGAUUUAAACAGAGUGAUUUAAGGAAUUGCUUUCUAAAAGGCUGCAUAUCAAAGAAAUUACAAAGCAACUUUUCUACUCUCUAAUAUGUUGAAAAGAAAUCUAAUCCAGUUAUUUGGCUAAUGAAUACGGUUUCGUUUUUAAGUUUUUGAGGGGAAAAGAGCAGAAGGCAAUUGUGGUAGUUAAGAGAUAAACUGGCAAAGAGAGAGCAAUGAGUAGAUAGAGAAAUUAGAAGGCAAAAUGUGCAAGAAGGAGGGGGUAAUGAAUUAUUUACAUCCUCGAGGGUAAAGCAUUUCAGUCCUGAACAGAUCGUUUACAUUCCUCAGGGGGGUCGGGCAGAAACGGGCUCCACGAAAAAGCCCGGAUGGUCGUUUGUGAGCCUCAGCUCCUCCAGCUCCUCUUCCUGGAUUUGAUCACGGAAACCUCUCAGAACUGUUAGAAUGUGAGUUGGGGCCUCUGAAGCAGAGCUGAGGCAUAUCACCUUUGGAGCCGAUUUCCUGGCCUACUCUGCAAUUUGUAAAGCGCUCAGGGGCUGUCUCCUGGGUGUAAGUCAGCCCGUGUGGAAAUGCGGACGUGUGAGCAUUUGAGUUGGAUGUUACAUGUUCCAGGUUUUAGACCUCUGUGGGCUGCUAGUUCCUGCAUGCCACCUUGGGAUUAGGUAAUGAGGUGCCAGCCUACCCUGUCACUCAGUAAAAGUAGUUAGAAGCUUGGGGCCUUGCCUAAGCAUUUUUUUUUUUUUUUUGCUGGGACGUUUUCUCCAUGAGGAAGACGAUUGGAGAAGAAACUUACAAUAUUUGGAAAAUUGAACAUAUCGUGUUAUGAUAAACUUAGAAAUCGAGUUCGAACUACUCUUGAAAGAUGUAGUUUGUGGUAUGAAUACUAUAUAUAGGAGUGUCACUUCUAAAACUUCUGAAGUUCCUACUUUAAAGGCACAAUGAUGGAUUUUAAGAAACAAAACUUUGAGCAAACAGUUACAUGGUUUACUUCAGAUAACAAUUAAUAACCUGAUUCCUUAAUGCUUGGGGUUGUUAUCUUCAUAGCAUUGUGUUUAGCACUAUCAUUUUCUAUUUCUCUUGCAUAACAUAUUGUGUUAGUACAUUUUCAUGCUGCUAAUAAAGAUAUACCUGAGACUGGG